AAAGCACCCGUCGGAGCGGAAGCGGCGCGGCGGCGGCGGGUUCAUGGACUCUGGCUCCAGAUCCAGCGGCGGCGCCGGCUUCGACGACGACGACGGCCUCGCCGCGCGCCGCGAGGUCUCCUCCUCGCUGCAAGAGGGAAGAGUAGGGGGAAGGGAGGAGUUGGCGCGACCUGACGGCGGCGGCCAUGGAGGCGCGGUGCGCGCGGCCGUCGCACGUCCACCAGCUCCACGCUCACCUCCUGGUCUCCGGCCGCCUCCUCGGCGGCUCGCCGGCGCUUGCGCUCCUGCUGCUGCGCGCUGCCUGCCGUGUCCGUGCGUCCCCGUGCCUCCGCCCCCUCGCCCGCCACCUGCUCGACCACGUCCCCCACCCGCCCCCGCACCUUCUCCACGCCGCCUCCCGCCUCGCGUUCCGUCUCCGCCUGACCUCCCUCGCGCUCCGCCACUACCUCGCUGUCCGCGCGGGACACCCGGCCUUCCUCCCGCCCGCCCCUGCCAUUGGCGAUGUGCUCAAGUCUGUCCCUGGCCGCGCAGCCCAUGCCCACGCGUUACGUCUCACUGACGGGGACACGCGAUUCCUGCACAAUUCACUCAUCGCCAUGUACUUUUCCUGCGGGGAUGCCGGCCGUGCUCGCCGCGUGUUCGAGGGAACGCGUGACUGCGACAGGGACGUUGUCUCCUGGACCUCUCUCAUCUCCGGGCUCGUGCAAAGUGGCAGCCCCUUGCAAGCGUUACGGCUGUUUGCAGCGAUGAUGUGCUGUCAUGUCCGUCCUGAUUUUGUGCUGCUUGUCACGGUCCUCAAGGCGUACAUGGAGCUCGAUGACUUGCCAGGUGCCAAAUCAGCUCAUUCCUUGGUAGUCAAGGGUGGCUUCGAUUAUGAACAAGAUGUUGUGACCACGUUGACGGCCAUGUAUGCCAAGUUUGGCUGCAUCGUGGCUGCGAGGGCACUCUUCGACAGGAUCCCGCCCCCGCGGGUAAAUGUGAUCCUGUGGAAUGCCAUGAUAUCGGGUUACUCCAAGAACGGGCUUGCCGGCGAGGCAGUGCAUUUGUUCAAGCAGAUGCAGGUGUUUGCAAGGAGCAUGAGCCCUGAUUCUGUCACGUUGCGGUCGGUGAUCAUGGCCUGUGCUCAGCUCGGCUCCACCGAGCUUGCAGUAUGGAUGGAGGAUUAUGUACGCCGCAGUGAGUGCAGGGAGGAUGUUCUCGUGAACACAGCGUUGAUUGACAUGUACGCCAAGUCAGGGAGCAUUGCCCAUGCGCGCAGAGUCUUUGAACAGAUGCGUGCCCAUGAGCGGGAUGUGGUAGUCUGGAGUGCAUUGAUCUCAGGUUACGGGGUGCACGGCCAUCUCGCUGAGGCCAUUGGUCUGUUUGAGGACAUGAAGCUUGCAGGGGUGAAACCGAAUGAUGUGACUUUCUUGGGGCUUUUGUCAGCGUGCAACCAUGCGGGCGCUGUGGAGAAAGGGUGGUUCUACUUUCAUUCCAUGAAACCUGACCACAAGAUCGAGCCUCGGCACCAGCACUAUGCUUGUGUGGUCGACCUGCUUGCUCGUGCUGGUCAGCUUGACAGAGCAUAUCGAUUUAUACUUGACAUGCCCAUCAAGCCAGAGAUGAGUGUGUGGGGUGCCUUACUUCACGGUUGCAAGAUGCACGAGCACUCAAACAUGGCCAUGGCUGAGAGGGCAGCACAGCACAUCUUUGAGUUGGAGCAGUCCAACGCGGGGCAUUAUGUGCAGCUGGCAAACAUGUAUGCGUCUGCAGGGAUGUGGAGCCAUGUUGCUGGUGUACGGGUCACCAUGAGAGAGAGGGGUGUCACCAAAGCAACCGGAUGCAGCUCCAUUGAGGUCGAUGGAAAGAUGCACAACUUCCAUGCCUGGGAUCACUCGCAUCCAAGGGCCGCCGAGAUUUUCGCCUUACUCUGCCUUCUUUCUCAAAGUCCAACUGGCCAUGAAAUGGGGCAUGCCAGCUGUUGAGUUCCUUUUUGUAGUUAGGAAAAACUCCUCAUAUCCUGUAAUACUUUCACAUAGUAUCUUGGCAGCCAGCAUUAAUUGUGUCAUGCAUAUCGUGUCCCUACAAUGCAAUUGCGAUACAAUUCGUCGCGAGCACUGUGACCAUCAAAAUAAACAAAACAUACCAGAGUUAGCUGUCAGGGUGGAUGCGAAGGGCGGGAGCUGCAGCGGCAGCGGCACGGAUCAGCUGCCAAACACACCAAAGUCAAAGCAUUCUGCAACUGAGCAGCGCCGCCGUAGCAAGAUCAAUGACAGGUUUCAGAUACUUAGGGAUCUUUUACCACACACUGAUCAAAAGAGAGACAAGGCAACAUUUCUCUUAGAGGUUAUUGAAUAUAUACGAUUUUUGCAAGAGAAAGCACAGAAGUACGAGGCUUCAUUUCCAGAAUGGAACCAAGAAAAUGCAAAGUUGCUCCCAUGGUCAAACAUGUAUUUUCGAUCAUCUUGGAAAAAUGCACAGAGUAAAGGGCAAAUCGCAGAAGAUGCCUCGCCUGACCCUUCACAAUUCAUCAGAAAUGGGGCCUCCCCUGGAUUCAAUAUCACAGGCAAGCUUGAUGAUAACCACACCGCGGCUAUCUCAGGGGCACCGGAUCAGGCAGAAACCGACCACAUGGCUAGUGUGUCCUGUAGAUCGGCGGACACUCCAACAAAUAUUAUGAAUAAUGUUUCGCCCCAGUCCCAACCACAAUGGGCAGAUCCAUCUGGUGUGGAUGAUUGCGCUGUGAACAGUGACGUGUUAAAUAAUCAACAAUUGAUGAUUGAUGAAGGAACAAUCAGCGUGUCAAGCCAAUAUUCCCAAGAGCUACUUAACACAUUGACGCAUGCUCUUCAAAGCUCGGGUAUAGAUUUGUCCCAAGCCAACAUCUCUGUCCAGAUCAACCUGGGCAAGCGAGCUGUCAAAAGACCUAUUGCUGGACAAUCCUCCAAUUUUAAGGAGCACACCGAUCUAGGCCCGACGAACAACAUGAUGGGCCAUCAGCAGACGAUGCUGGGCAACGCCGCCGAAGAGCUUCCCCAUGCGACGAAGCGGUACAAGCCGGGCAACACCUGACGGCGGCGACCCUCGCCGCAUUCUCCACCCAAGACAGGAUUGAUCAUUCUUUCCUCUGCGGCAUUGCCAGCGGAGACCCUGAGAUUGCAUGUACAUUAUGUUGUUCUGUGACGGCACCGGGACGAGCGAGACUUUGGUGCAUUCUUUCAUUUAAUCUUCGCGCCGCCACCUUUUAUUUAUUGUUGAAGUAAAAGCAAAACAAAACAAAGAAGCUUCCAUUGCAGAUUGUGAAGCUGCUCUUGUAGUACUAGUAUAUACAGGCUUCCAUUCGUAUGCGAAGUUUCUCCCCCGUGUAACCUGUAAGAUAACUCGAUCGACUAUAUUUCCUGUUAGUUAAGUCGCACCCUGGAGUAUGUCA